rnacentral:rRNA from 1 species
GUAGGCGGUUUGUCGCGUCUGCUGUGAAAUCCGGAGGCUCAACCUCCGGCCUGCAGUGGGUACGGGCAGACUAGAGUGCGGUAGGGGAGAUUGGAAUUCCUGGUGUAGCGGUGGAAUGCGCAGAUAUCAGGAGGAACACCGAUGGCGAAGGCAGAUCUCUGGGCCGUAACUGACGCUGAGGAGCGAAAGGGUGGGGAGCAAACAGGCUUAGAUACCCUGGUAGUCCACCCCGUAAACGUUGGGAACUAGUUGUGGGGUCCAUUCCACGGAUUCCGUGACGCAGCUAACGCAUUAAGUUCCCCGCCUGGGGAGUACGGCCGCAAGGCUAAAACUCAAAGGAAUUGACGGGGACCCGCACAAGCGGCGGAGCAUGCGGAUUAAUUCGAUGCAACGCGAAGAACCUUACCAAGGCUUGACAUAUACGAGAACGGGCCAGAAAUGGUCAACUCUUUGGACACUCGUAAACAGGUGGUGCAUGGUUGUCGUCAGCUCGUGUCGUGAGAUGUUGGGUUAAGUCCCGCAACGAGCGCAACCCUCGUUCUAUGUUGCCAGCACGUAAUGGUGGGAACUCAUGGGAUACUGCCGGGGUCAACUCGGAGGAAGGUGGGGAUGACGUCAAAUCAUCAUGCCCCUUAUGUCUUGGGCUUCACGCAUGCUACAAUGGCCGGUACAAAGGGCUGCAAUACCGCGAGGUGGAGCGAAUCCCAAAAAGCCGGUCCCAGUUCGGAUUGAGGUCUGCAACUCGACCUCAUGAAGUCGGAGUCGCUAGUAAUCGCAGAUCAGCAACGCUGCGGUGAAUACGUUCCCGGGUCUUGUACACACCGCCCGUCAAGUCAUGAAAGUCGGUAACACCUGAAGCCGGUGGCCUAACCCUUGUGGAGGGAGCCGUCGAAGGUGGGAUCGGUAAUUAGGACUAAGUCGUAC